GCGAGAAACCACUUGCGUGGCAGAAAUUGAUUGGAGAAACUGCACACAACAAAGCAAAAACCAACUGGAGAAAAAUCCCAAACCCAAGCUUUAACAAUUCCCUCUGUAUUCCCUUUCAAUCUUCCCUCCACCUUUUUGUAGCCGCUAGAAGAAAAAACCUCACAAACUCAAAAAUUCCAUCCAUCUCCCUAUCCAUGGCCGCUGAUCCAACUCAGUUGCAGCGACUCGCCCUCCUUCUCGGGCCCGACCCCUUUCACUUCGAAAACCUAGUAAACCACCUCAUGUCUUCCUCUAAUGACCAACGUUCUGCGGCUGAGUCACUCUUCAACAUAUGCAAGCAAGCUCACCCGGAAUCGCUUCUUCUCAGACUUGCUCAACUCGUCUCAUCCUCCGCCCAUACCGAGGUUCGCGCCAUGUCUGCUAUCCUCCUCCGCAAGCACCUAACCCGGUUGGCUGCCAAUGAUGACUCGUUCCUCUACCCGAAGCUCUCCGAGUCAACUCGGUCCGCCAUUAAGAACAUACUCCUCUCUUCUCUCCAGCGAGAGACUACAAAAUCGAUA
rnacentral:misc_RNA from 1 species